rnacentral:rRNA from 1 species
UACGAAGGGGGCUAGCGUUGCUCGGAUUUACUGGGCGUAAAGGGCGCGUAGGCGGACAGUUAAGUUGGGGGUGAAAGCCCGGGGCUCAACCUCGGAAUUGCCUUCAAUACUGGCUGUCUUGAGUGUGAGAGAGGUGUGUGGAACUCCGAGUGUAGAGGUGAAAUUCGUAGAUAUUCGGAAGAACACCAGUGGCGAAGGCGACACACUGGCUCACUACUAACGCUGAGGCGCGAAAGCGUGGGGAGCAAACAGG